UGAAUGAAAAAGAUAAUCACUCUGCCUGUCCUUUUCCUUUCUCCUUUUUCCCCCUCUUCCUCUCACCCCCUCUCUUCUCUCCUUGAGUUCUGCCUUUAGCAUUCCAGGCUUCCUCCGUUCAGCUUUCAAGACUCUAUUCAAAUUCGCAGCCUCUACACUGCUUUUAGGCGAAGUAUCGUUCAAAAUAUAACAAGCAUCUCGGCCAUUUCUCUACCUAUGAAGUGUAUGGGAACAUGAUUGGAAGCUUUCUCCUAAGAGAUAUGCAUCUUUGUAAGGCUUUUCAAGUGGGAAUCGUAUGGAUCAAUUGCCCAAAUCUGUGCUUCGUUCAAACCUCAUGAAGAAAACCAAAUUGCAGCAUGCUAAGAAAUAGAUUUGUUAGUUGUAAUUGAUAUUUUUCUUUAAAUUUUUU